rnacentral:misc_RNA from 1 species
AACGCACGAGACCUGCGGACCUGCGGAAGGAUCAUCAUGGGAAAAAUGUGACUUGUGAGUUUUCUGUUGCUCACUCACCAAGCUGUGGGGAGUGGCGUGGUGGGGGGGGCGCAUACUCUGCAACUGUUUCUGUGGGGGAUCUGGCUCUCUCACUCGCGCUUUCCGCAGCUUCAUCCAAACGAUCGCAACAAUGAUCAGAGAAAUUGGGAUUGGAUUGGGGGGGCGCCGUUUUACCACGGC